rnacentral:rRNA from 1 species
UACGUAGGGGGCUAGCGUUGUCCGGAAUCAUUGGGCGUAAAGCGCGCGUAGGCGGCCCGGUAAGUCCGUUGUGAAAGUCAAAGGCUCAACCUUUGAAAGCCGAUGGAUACUGCCGGGCUAGAGUCCGGAAGAGGCGAGUGGAAUUCCCGGUGUAGCGGUGAAAUGCGCAGAUAUCGGGAGGAACACCAAUGGCGAAGGCAGCUCGCUGGGACGGUACUGACGCUGAGGCGCGAAAGCGUGGGGAGCAAACAGG